GACGAACGCUGGCGGCGUGCUUAACACAUGCAAGUCGAACGGAAAGGCCCUGCUUGCAGGGGACUCGAGUGGCGAACGGGUGAGCAACACGUGGGUGAUCUGCCCUGCACUUCGGGAUAAGCCUGGGAAACUGGGUCUAAUACCGGAGAGGAGCCAUUUUUAGUGUGAUGGUUGGAAAGUUUUUUCGGUGUAGGAUGAGCGCGCGGCCUAUCAGGUUGUUGGUGGGGGAAUGGCCUACCAAGGCGGCGACGGGUAGCCGGCCUGAGAGGGUGGACGGCCAAAUUUGGACUGGGAUACCGCCCCGACUCCUACGGGGAGGAGCAGUGGGGAAUAUUGCACAAUGGGCGCAAGCCUGAUGCAGCGACGCCGCGGGGGGGAUGACGGCCUUCGGGUUGUAAACUCCUUUCGCUAGGGACGAAGCUGUUUGUGACGGUACCUAGAAAAGAAGCACCGGCUAACUACGUG
rnacentral:rRNA from 1 species